CUAUCAUCAGACUUAGUCUCAGUCCAUCAGAACCAGGAUUAGUCUUUAAUCACAUGUAAGAAGGAUUCCAAGGAACAUAAGUGUGCUGGAAUAGCUCAGCAUCAUGUAACUAGCUCUUAAUAGUGACGUCUAGUAUGAAGUAAAACACUUCCAUCGUUACAUGAUUUUAAUAUUUUAUUUAUGAUAAAAUUGAUGUUAAUUACAAUAAUUAUCUUUGUUAUCGUCAAGAUAGUUUCUAAUUAUUGUGUAUAUACUGUUAGUAUCAUAAAGUAUGAGUAAAUACAUUAA